GCAGCCGCCGCGGGAAUACGUAGGGUGCGAGCGUUAAUCGGAAUUACUGGGCGUAAAGCGAGCGCAGACGGUUACUUAAGCAGGAUGUGAAAUCCCCGGGCUCAACCUGGGAACUGCGUUCUGAACUGGGUAGCUAGAGUAUGUCAGAGGGGGGUAGAAUUCCACGUGUAGCAGUGAAAUGCAUAGAGAUGUGGAGGAAUACCGAUGGCGAAGGCAGCCCCCUGGGAUAAUACUGACGUUCAUGCUCGAAAGCGUGGGUAGCAAACAGGAUUAGAUACCCCCGUAGUCCCUGUCUCUUAUAC
rnacentral:rRNA from 1 species